UUUCUUUGUUAUUCAGGAUGACAAAGACCUGAACUUGUAUGUAAUUACAGUAAAAGAGACUUGUGGUUUUUGAAGCUUUUGAUCCAGCAGUCCUGACAAUUCUUGUCUAUGUUCAUGAUGGGACGGAGCAUACGUCAAAGGGGCAUACUGUUGGUCAGACCCAGGUUAUCAAACCUUUCCAAGGAUGCAGAUUGUCUGCUGGAAGUUGGUCUGUCUGUCUGACCUUGAUUAUUCACCACUGAAAUUGAAAAAAAAUGUGUGAGUGAGAAUGGAUAUGGACUGGCUGUCAGACCAUUGUUAUCGGGUAGUUUUACUGAGAAUUUGUGUAUGAGGAAGCUUCCUGAUGGUUGUCUACUAAGCAGGGCCCAUGACAAGAAGGCUAUCACCUAUGCAGGGCCCAUGGCCAGAAGGCUGUCACCCAAGCAGGGGCCAUGACCAAAAGGCUAUCACCGAAGCAGGGCCCAUGACAAGAAGGCUGUCACCUAAGCAGGGCCCAUGACCAGAAGGCUAUCACCGAAGCAGGGCCCAUGACCAGAAUGCUGUCACCUAAGCAGGGCUCAUGACCAGAAGGCUAUCACCGAAGCAGGGCCCAUGACAAGAAGGCUGUCACCUUUUAAUCAGGGCCUAUGGCCAAAAGGCUUUUAACUAAACAGGGCCCAUGGCCAGAAGGCUGUCACCUAAGCAAGGCCCAUGGUCAGAAGGCUGUCACCUAUUAAGCAGGACCAAUGACCAAAAGAAAUGACCUGUGCUGACAUCUAAAUAUAACCCAGGACCAAAAGGCUAUCACCUAAGCAGGGGCCAGGGUCUGAAUGCCUUCAUCUAAGUGUGGUUCAAGAUCAGAAGGCUGUCACCUUAGGAGGGUACAAGAUCAAGAAGGAUGUCCCCUGAGCACAGCCAAGGACCAAGAUAGUCAUGUCCCUGUACCCAGUACACUGAGCAGACAGAUGGACAGACUUAACUUCUUAUGAUAAGAGCAUGACAAACUUGACCUCCUGAAGACUGGGUUCUGGGAGGAUACAGAUCCCACUGCCCCCUCACGGUUCUGGGAGGAUACAGAUCCCACUGCCCCCUCACGGACUGCACCACCCGAUAGCUCCUGUUAUUUUGGAAGUUGGAUGUGAAAACUUUUCAUCCAGACUCAAUUUUUCCUGUUACUUCUGUGUACAAAAUGUGUUUUACAUGUCAGCUUGAAACAUGAUGUCUCAUUGAAGUAAGCCAAAUAUACAUGCAUAUAUCUAGAUCACUGAUUGAACAAAGUAAUUUCUAUGUUGGUCAAUGGAUUCUACCCAAGGCCAGUUAUGACAGAAGCCUCCAGUAGAGUUCAUGUUACAUAAGGGACAGCAUGAUUCUGGCAACUUACCUGUCCAGAACCUUCAAGGUGUGCCAAACAAGACCGCCACAUAGGGGACAUGGAGAAACUAUCAGAAAUAUUACAAUGUGAUGUAGACAAACUGUGAAUGUUGGGCCCGGGUAGCGGGUCUGUCUGUCAUUCCUUCCUGACUAAGGAACACAUCGAACUGCUUGUCAACAUUGUCAUGGCAGUGUGACCAGUGUGAAUUUAUGCAAGUGACCCAGUCUGUCAGGGCAGGGAGGUUGUUCCAGGUCACAGCUAAGUCUGAAAACAGAACCAGUCUGGCCAGGGACAAAUCCGGACAUCACAAAUCAAGCAGUUUUGAUGGGUUAAGGACAUGUGACUUCUCUUUGCAUCUGCCAGAACUGCCUGCCUCUAGAGACAUAAGGCCGUCAGACCAACAUGGAUCAACUAUUUCUCAUCAAAACAAUUUUCAACUUCAAAACAAAUUUUUACGUUUCCUGAAGGGUCAGAGUGUGCUUGCAAAAUUCGACAACAUAACAACCUCAGCUUUUGAUGCCUGGAAAGGAAUUGGAGAAAACAUUUUGUUCACAUUUAGAUCUAGGUUUCGCCUUGCAGCUUCUUACUACAGCAUUAUAAUACAGCACUGCAAAACCACACAAAGAAAAGUAAAAAAAGCAUGUUCAACACCCAAGUGGCCAUGUCAGAAAUUUGAAAGAUGGGAACAAGUUCAAGGAGUGUUACACAAGUUUAAAUACCCCAUGAAGAUAGCAAGAAAAAUAUUCAAGGAUAUAGAAUUCCACUGAACUUUAUAUUUUAAGUGCAGCUAAAUAAAAUGUGAAGUAUUGACCAAGUAUUCACUCAGUAGAAAGUGCUUCCUUCUAUUUUAAGUUUUUUUUGACAAAACUUUUAUCAAUGAUGGAUAAAUUAUUUUCUAUGAGUGAAUCUGUAGAAAUGGAGGACUUUGUCCUACAUUGCCCCAUGAAAGUGAGUCUAUUUGUCGUGCCAUUCUUCAAUUAAAGUACAAAGAUGGCUCCAAUCAUACAUGGAACACUUAAUAAAAGCUUAAACCUAAUUAUAGGAGCUCCCAAGAAGUUCACAAGGUAGCCGAUAGUGGAUGAUCAUGAAAACAAAUCAUGGGAAUGACUGCAUCGGGGUUAGAGGUGAAGAUUAUAGAGUGUUCCAGAGAUCAAUGGAUGAACCUAGUUCAAGGCCAAAACUUAACUUGUUUAUGUUUUGUUCAUAAUGGAUUAGAACUUUGGGAUAACAAACCAACUUACUUCUUUACAGGGUGUAUCUGGGUUGCCACAUGUUGCUGGUCUCAAAGAUUUUCAUUGGAUUCUUAUUAUAGAUACAAUUCUCAUGUUAAUGUAGACUUCUGUGUGUUUUGCAGAUGUUACCAUAUGAAUCAUGCUUUAUUAGAAACUUGGUUUAUAUGACAAGUCCUUACAAGGAAUCUUUUGCAUAAAGGAAGUGUAAUAAUCUCGUAAGUAAAGUAAGUUAUGAACACUGAGCUGUCUAGGAGUAAAGAAUGUCAUGUUUUUAGUAUUGCCUCACAAUAUAUUUUGUUUCCUGAAAAGAUCCCCAUAAGAGAAAUAAGUUAAUGACCGAAGCAAGAGUAAAUAAGAGGGCAUUCACCUGUUAGGUAAACACAGACAUGAAAACAUGGAUGGCCUUGGACAGUGGGUGAAGAGUUCAUUGAUAGAUUGAACCGCUAUGUUUUGUCUUUUAUUGGCCAUAGGUUCAUAAUCUUGUCAAAAUUUGAUCUAGUGGAUCAAAUGAUACAACAGAGAUUUGUUUGAGUACAUAUUUGCUCUUGGUAUUUCAGUGUUCAAAUUUAAAACCUGUUAAUUAUUAACUAGUUUGGUGACCUGUGACAUGGGAGGCAGCUGCCGGCUGGUUUUUUAAGGUUGUAAUUUUAUUGUGUCCUAAUAUACUUUGUCAUUCAAGAAAAAUGGCUGUCAAAACAGUCAGUGUAGUGUAAUACAUUUAUCAACAUCCGUAUAUAAAUGAUGUUCUAUUUAAUAACUAUCUAAUUAAUUAUUUGUUUCAUUAUAUGAAAGAUAAUUCAUUACAAUCCCAUUUAUAAACCGAAGUUAAAGCUUAGCAGACUUAUCCUGGCAGCAAUCUUCAAUAUGAAUUUAUGAUGUUACUUUGUUGCAUUAAAAUUAGAUACUAUAUUCCUCAUUUAGCUAAUGUUGCUUUUCUAAGAACUACUUGCCACAAGUGUGUAGGGGAAACACAUCCAAAUAUAACUAUCAUUGUUAAUACUUCCAAGGUCGGACAUUGUGCUUAUUGGUUCAAGUGCUCAUUCCCUUGAAAGCUGAAACAGACUUUAUCUGCUUAUAACUCAGUUGAAAUUACAGGAGGCCUUUUUGGUGAGGUGCAGUAUAGUUUCUGACAUUCUUCACUAGGGCAAUGUGCUCACCUGUAUUACUGUGCUACAUUCUCCAUAUACGAAACCCCUAAAUCUAUUGUUACAUAAGUUAUUCUAUUGUUACAUCUAUCAUUGUACCACAGUCAUCAUGAACUUCCAAUAAUGAUGAUGCAUAUGUAUGUCUGUACUUUAACAUAAUGAGUUAUAUGCUGCUAUUAAUUUUACAAGUACCAAAAAAUACUUCACCUUGAUAUUGGACAAACUGAUAGGUACAAAAUGAUAUAUUAGGGCGAGGUGAUGCUGUUACUACUUAUUUUUUAAAACGUUUCUUUCUGUAAGCCAAUUUGACCAGAGAAUAUUUCCACCAUUGUAAAAUGCUCAGCAAAAUACCUGACACUUUGAAGGGUUUUCAUUAAGUUAAGGUGAAUAUUAAAUGAAUAUUAUAAAAGGUAACAUGGACAUAUUAUAGCAAUUAAGAUUGUCAGAAUAUUUAAACUAGUUAUUUUUUUCUGUACUUAAGACAUUGGGAAAUUUGGUACAAAUGAACAUUUUAAUGAAUGAUUAGCUACUAACGUUGUAUAUUCCAGAGCAUUUACAGUUCAUCAAGACAAUUAAUAUUUUGUUCAUGUCUGUUAAAUAUCUAUUGAGGUUAAUAUCCUUAGAUAUUUUGACAAAUUAUCAUCACUAUUGUUGGUAUUAAUUGAGAGUCCUGAAUGAAGAAAAUCUGCAUUAAUGAGUAUUUCUGAUGUAUCACUUUUUACUUUCAAUAUGCAAAUUAAGGUUUUGUUGAGUACCAAAUGUUAAUUAUAUGUUGCAUGUUGUAUAAUCCUGUAAUGAUGGAUAAGAUAGAAGGCAUUUAAAAAAACUUGUAUGUUUGUAUGUGAUAAGUAUUACCAGGUAUCAUGUUGUUUUUUCUUUCAUAGACUACCUUGGCUUGAGUUGUGCAUCACACUGGUAUGUCCUAGGCUAAAACUUCAGUUGAUGUUGAAAUGCCUUGCAGAAAUGGUCACCAGACAAACAUCUAACAGCCCAGUAGGUCAAAGGUCACACUGAGUUGCCAUCUUAUAGGUGUACCCAGUGAGUUAAAGGUCACACUGAGUUACCAUCAAAUGGGUGUGCUCAGAAGGUCUAAGGUCACACUGGGUUACCGUCUUAUGAUCUAAUAAGUGUGCCCAGUAAGUCAAAGGUUACACUGGGUUACCAUCAAAUAGGUGUGCCCAGUAGGUAUAAGGUCACACUGGGUUACCAUCUAAUGGGUGUGCCCAGUAGGUCUAAGAUGACGUCACACUGUAUUACCAUCUAAAAGGUGUACCCAGUAGAUUGAAAGUUACAUCAGGUUACCAUCAAGUAGGUGUGCCCAGAAGGUCUAAGGUCACGCUGAGUUGCCAUGUAAUAGGUGUGCCCAGUUAGUCAAAGGUCACACUGAGUUACCAUCAAAUUGGUGUCAGUCAAAGGUCACAGUGAGUUACCAUCAAAUAGGUGUGCCCAGUUAGUCAAAGGUCACACUGAGUUACCAUCAAAUUGGUGUGCCCAGUAGGUCAAAGCUCAUUAGCUACAGUCAAACGUCAUAACAGAUAGCAUCAUGAUAUACAUCCUGAUCAUUCAUAAAAGCAGUAAAAGCGCUUUAAGCAAUGUAUAUACUUGUGCGGUACAUGAUUUGUUGAAUAUGCUUUAAUAAAUAAAAAUAGUCAUGUACACUAUAUACUCUUAAGGGUGUACUUUUGCAAGUAUGUAUUUUUAAUGUAUUUCUUUUAAAGAGUUUGUGUAUUGUUAAAGCUUCGCUAUCCUUAUCUUAUGAUUUGACUUAGUAUAAAUUAGACUGAAUGUAAAUCUUGGUCUCUGAACAUGGCAAUAUGCAUAUUAUGUUAGCUAACCCUUUCAAAUUUACUGAAAUAUUUUGUGAAUCACUGGCAUAAAUAUGUACUGCUGUUAUGUUGGUAUUAAUAUAAUUGAAAAUAUAUUUUUUUACCACAG